GAUGAACGCUGGCGGCGUGCCUAAUACAUGCGAGUCGAGCGAACGGACGAGAAGCUUGCUUCUCUGAUGUUAGCGGCGGACGGGUGAGUAACACGUGGAUAACCUACCUAUAAGACUGGGAUAACUUCGGGAAACCGGAGCUAAUACCGGAUAAUAUUUUGAACCGCAUGGUUCAAAAGUGAAAGACGGUCUUGCUGUCACUUAUAGAUGGAUCCGCGCUGCAUUAGCUAGUUGGUAAGGUAACGGCUUACCAAGGCAACGAUGCAUAGCCGACCUGAGAGGGUGAUCGGCCACACUGGAACUGAGACACGGUCCAGACUCCUACGGGAGGCAGCAGUAGAGAAUCUUCCGCAAUGGGCGAAAGCCUGACGGAGCAACGCCGCGUGAGUGAUGAAGGUCUUCGGAUCGUAAAACUCUGUUAUUAGGGAAGAACAUAUGUGUAAGUAACUGUGCACAUCUUGACGGUACCUAAUCAGAAAGCCACGGCUAACUACGUG
rnacentral:rRNA from 1 species